AUUGAACGCUGGCGGCAGGCCUAACACAUGCAAGUCGAGCGAGCGGCGGACGGGUGAGUAAUGUAUGGGGACUGCCCGAUAGAGGGGGAUAACUCCUGGAAACGGUGGCUAAUACAGCAUACUGCCGGGUAGUCCAUAUGGGAUUAGCUCGUAGGUACGGUAAUGGCUUACCUAGGCGACGAUCCCUAGCUGGUCUGAGAGGAUGAUCAGCCACACGGGGACUGAGACACGGCCCAGACUCCUACGGAGGCAGCAGUGGGGAAUAUUGCACAAUGGGCGCAAGCCUGAUGCAGCCAUGCCGCGUGUAUGAAGAAGGCCCUAGGGUUGUAAAGUACUUUCAGUCGGGAGGCGUUACCGGCAGAAGAAGCACCGGCUAACUCCGUGCCAGCAGCCGCGGUAAUUC
rnacentral:rRNA from 1 species